UCGGUUUUAAUUGCAUGGGAUAAACCCGAUUAAAACUACUGGAUCUUUUUCCUUCUUCUAAAACGUUUGGAAUAAUUGGGCUAUUGGCUUUAGUGUUUGUAAUCGACAGGCCCAUUGAAUAUAUAUGUUUGUAAUCGAAAUGGCCCAUUUCUGGAAAGCAUUAGUUUAAAGGAUUUGAUAUUUUCUAAAUCUUGCAAAACCGAAAAUAUGUCUUUUUGUUGAACACAUAUUAAAAACGAAAAAUAAUAAAGGCUUUAUGGCAAUUAAAACUUAUAUAUACAUAUAGAUUGUAUGUGUAAUGUGUUUAAAAUUAUAAAGGUUUUGAUCAGCAGCCAUUAUGCCUAACUGAUAAAUUUAAAACUAACUAAAAUUUUAGGAUAUUAUAAAUAUUUAAACAUAUAUAAAAUUUAACGUAUCAUAUAACGGGGUUAUAUGGUAGGACGGAUUAUUAGUAUAUAUAUAAAAUAACAUAGAGUUAUUGUUAACUCGUCAUUUUUAUUAUUUUAUUAACACCACCAAUAUUUACAGUAAAAAUAAUUAAAGUAUUAUAAUUUAAAGCUUGGCAGUUACUAAAUAAAUAUUGUCUCGUGGUGUACCACGGGGUAAAUGAUGUAUAGCAUUAAUACCAAAUCUUAUUAAGCAAUAUAAAUGAUAAAACAAAAAUAUCUUUUUUGCAGCUCUAGACAAAAUCUUAUAGUUGGACUAUAUAAAUACAUUUGUAUUCUAUUCAAGUAUUUAUUUUAGCAAAUAUGAGCUUAAUUAUAGUGAAUUUUAAAAAAUUGCAUACUUAUAGUUUUUUUCACGACAUAUAUUCAAUAACAAAUAUUAUUAGUUAUUAAAAAUACACCAACAUAUAUAAAUAGUAACAUCUAUAUUAAAAUGGUGAAGAAUUUUGGAAAAUUCAUUGAAAUAACAAUUAACAGCUACAAUGGUACUGAUAUUCUUUUCUCAAUGUAAAUUAUUAUCUCAUAAAUAUAUAUAUAAAUUUAAAUGAUUAUCAUGUUUACAAUAAAUUAAUAAAAUUAUCACAUAUCGAAUAAAAUUGACACGAUAUAAUAUAAAUUUUAAACCAUUUUGAGGUGUACAAACAAUAUUAAUUCUACUACUCAUUGUUAAAGAAUAACAUUGUAGAUGUGCGAAACAAACAAAACAAACAUUGUGUUGUUACAUAGUAAUAUACAUUUCAUAAUCCAACAAAACACUAAAAUAUGACAGUUCUCGAAACAAAAUAUAUGAAACUAUGGACCCGUGGUGUACCACGGGGUAAAA
rnacentral:lncRNA from 1 species